rnacentral:rRNA from 1 species
CACGUAGGGGGCGAGCGUUGUCCGGAUUUAUUGGGCGUAAAGGGCUCGUAGGCGGCUCAGUAAGUCGGGUGUGAAACCUCCAGGCUCAACCUGGAGACGCCACUCGAUACUGCUGUGGCUAGAGUCCGGUAGGGGAGCAUGGAAUUCCUGGUGUAGCGGUGAAAUGCGCAGAUAUCAGGAGGAACACCGGUGGCGAAGGCGGGUCUCUGGGCCGAAACUGACGCUGAGGAGCGAAAGCGUGGGGAGCGAACAGG